AUGGGGCUUCUCAAGGAUCCCAUAGCUCUCUUCCUAGCGGCCAUCGUUGUGACCGCCAUGGCCAUGUCAUCAUGUCAUGGUGCACAAGGUAAGGAGUGCAACCGGAUCCUGCCGUGCACAGACAGUGCGUGCUACAUCCACUGCCAGAAGCUGGGGUACAAGGACCCCAAGACGCGCUGUGAGCGUAGCCCUCCCACUAAAGGCCAGUUCUACGAUACAUGCUGCUGUCUAAAAUCGGAGAUGGACAACAACGGGCUGCCCUCGGAGCGAUCGAUCUUAACUUGGCCGUCGAACAGAGGAAAAGAAAGUCCUAUUACAAGAGUUGACCUCUGGGCGCCGUGCAAGGCAACGCUGAGUGACAACUUCUCCCUCCUCGAGCAACACCAGCUUAGAAACGGGCCAAAUAUACCACUGAGCUGGCGACCAAGGAGGCCGUGGCGGCUAUGCCUAUGGAGAACCAUAACUUUGUCGCCGAGCAACGGGCGCCUUACGAGGCCACCCGUGCUUGUGCCUGCUGCAUUGUGCCCUGCGACGCAGCCGGAUGGGGAGGAGGUGCUGAUGGUGCAGGCGAUCUUAGACGAGAACGCCGGCAGCUCGUUGGCGCCGUUUGAAAUAUAUGUAGGCAUGGUUGGAUGGUCGACUCCUGCAUCACUGUCAGCGGACAUCCAGACCAGCCGGGAGACAAAUACGGUGUCCGAUUUGGGGGCCGGCUUUGCAGAUACUCUAAGAGCAUCUACAAAACAAUCCAGUGCACCUUCCCCUUGCGGUCGCCGGUGCAACAGUGCCCCUCCAUGUAGGCAUUGGCGGUCGAAAGGGUAUCAUCGUCGGAGCUGGAGCUGUAGGUGCCUUUCAAGUUGUCGUCGGAGCAUAUUUGUCCCGUCAACCUCCGGAGCAGGUGGUCCUGCUCCUUCGCAUGUCAGGACGCCUUCGCCUUGGCUGUCGCCUCCGCUGUUGACGCUCCGACGGCUUGAGGAUGAGCCGGAGCGCUUUGGCAUUCUUGCGGCGGAGCCGCCGCUCAUCCGUCUCCACCGUUAUCAGGGAGUGGAGGAGGACUGGCGCGAGGAGCACUUCCUCGGGAUCCAUCGACGCGUAGCUAACGCCUCCACCGCCGCCGCCCUCUCCUAG
rnacentral:rRNA from 1 species